rnacentral:tRNA from 1 species
AGUUAUUUGUUUUGUAAACAAAAGAUUUUGAAAAUCUUUAAUAAAUGUUAAAUUCAUUUAAUAACU